UACGGAGGGUGCGAGCGUUGUCCGGAAUCACUGGGCGUAAAGGGCGCGUAGGUGGCCGAGCAAGGUCGCGGUGAAAGCCCGGGGCUCAACCCCGGGUCGGCCGUGGCAACUACUGGGCUGGAGCACUGUAGGGGCGGGUGGAAUUCCGGGUGUAGCGGUGGAAUGCGUAGAGAUCCGGAAGAACACCGGUGGCGAAGGCGGCCCGCUGGGCAGUUGCUGACACUGAUGCGCGAAAGCGUGGGGAGCGAUCCGG
rnacentral:rRNA from 1 species